UUCCACCGCCAUUUUAAAUUCAGCUCCAUACAACACUCUGCCACCGCUGCUGCUGCACCCCGGACUGCGCGCCAGCACCCCCCUGCUGACAGCUCCGCCACUAUGGAGGAUAUGAACGAAUACAGCAAUAUAGAGGAAUUCGCAGAGGGAUCCAAGAUCAACGCGAGCAAGGAUCAGCAGGAUGAUGGUAAAAUGUUUAUUGGAGGCUUGAGCUGGGAUACAAGCAAAAAAGAUCUGAGAGGGUAUGUGUCUCGAUUUGGGAAAGUUGUAGACUGCACAAUUAAAACAGAUCCAGUCACUGGGAAAUCAAGAAAGUUUGGAUUUCUGCUUUUCAAAGAUGCUGCUGGUGUUGAUAAGGUUUUGGAACUGAAAGAACACAAACUGGAUGGCAAAUUGAUAGAUCCCAAAAGGGCUAAAGCUUUAAAAGGGAAAGAACCCCCCAAAAAGGUUUUUAUGGGUGGAUUGAGCCCGGAUACUUCUGAAGAACAAAUUAAAGAAUAUUUUGGAGCCUUUGGAGAGAUUGAAAAUAUUAAACUUCCCAUGGAUACAAAAACAAAUGAAAGAAGAGGAUUUUGUUUUAUCACAUAUACCAAUGAAGAGCCAGUAAAAAGAUUGUUAGAAAGCAGAUACCAUCAAAUUGGUUCUGCGAAGUGUGAAAUCAAAGUUGCACAACCCAAAGAGGUAUAUACACAGCAACAGCAACAACAAAAAGGUGGAAGAGGUACUGCAGCUGGUGGACAAGGUGGUACGAGGGGUCGUGGCCGAGGUCAGGGCCAAAACUGGAACCAAGGAUUUAAUAGCUAUUAUGAUCAAGGAUAUGGAAAUUACAAUAGUGCCUAUGGUGGUGAUCAAAACUAUAGUGGCUAUGGCGGAUAUGAUUAUACUGUGUAUAACUAUGGGAACUAUGGAUAUGGACAGGAAUAUGCAGACUACAGUGGCCAACAGAGCACUUUAUGGCAAGGCAUCUCGAGGGGGUGGCAAUCACCAAAACAGUUACCAGCCAUACUAA